UUUAAAUAGCUGCAGUAAUUUAACUGUACAAAGGUAGCAUAAUAAUUAGUCUUUUAAUUGAGGUCUAGAAUGAAUGGUUUAACAAGAGAAAAUCUUUAUUAAUUCAAAAAUAUUUAAAUUUAAUUUUUUAGUUAAAAAGCUAAAAUUUUUAAUUGGGACGAUAAGACCCUAUAGAUCUUUAAUUUUUUUUUUACAAUUCUUUUUUGAUGGUUUUGGAUUUAAUAGUUAACAAAAAUUUUUGUUGGGGUGACAUUAAAAUUUUUAAAACUUUUAAUAAUUUUAACAUUUAUAAGUGUAAAAUUUGAUCUCAAAAUUUGGAUUUAAAGAUAAAGAUACCUUAGGGAUAACAGCGUAAUAAAUUUGAAUAGUUCAUAUUGAUAAAUUUGUUUACGACCUCGAUGUUGAAUUAAUUUAAGGUUUUAAAGUAGAAAUUAAAUAUUUUAGGUCUGUUCGACCCUUAAUAAAUUACA
rnacentral:rRNA from 1 species